rnacentral:lncRNA from 1 species
CUUUCUCUCUUCGCCUGCUGCCGUCCAUGUAAGAUGGGACUUGCUCCUCCUUGCCUUCCACCAUGAUUGUGAGGCUUCCUCAGCCACGUGGAACUAUGCCCUGACCUUCCGGGAAACCCUCGGUGAGAGGCCCACAGCCUCGCUUCUAGGGUCACCACUGCUUCUUCCAGUCUAGCCAAACAGCUCCUAGUACAGCUCAGAGCACCCUGCAAGGAGGGCACGUGUUAAAUCGAGGAGCACACAUGCUCCACGAGGAAUUCUUUGCUUUGAGGCCAUGCACAGAGGUGGGUUCACUAUGAAGCUUGUGAAAUAAGCUUCAGGGCCCGCAUUUGCAUGGGCCACAGAGAGUCUGGGAGCUGCAGAAGGUUCAAGGGAAGAGGAGCCAUCACAAGCAGAAUAUUCUAGAAGGCAUUUCUGGCAAAUGGCCCAAAGAGGCCUCAGGAGAAAAGAACUUGAGUCUUCAAGAGGCCUGAGAGAACUUGUUCACCCCUUCUACCACAUGAGGAUGCAAUGAGAAGGCACCAUCUGUGAGGAACAGGCCUCCGACAGACACCGAAUUUGCUGGCACUUUGAUCUUGGACUUCCCAGCCUCCAAAAUUAUCCAUAAUGGAUUCCUGGGACAUUUUCAGAUCUCCUUCCAGCUUCCUCUUCGCCCUUUCCAAGUCCGCCCGCAGUUUCUUCUCCUGCUCUAAGGAACCCUCAAGCUGAGAAGACACACAGAGACAAGGGCUUGCUCUGUUGCCCAAGCUAAAGUGCAGUGGUGUGAGUGUAGCCCACUGCAUCCUCACACUCCUGUGCUCAAGUGAUCCUCCCACCUCAGCCUCCCAAGUAGCUGGAACUACAAGAUGGAGUCUCGCUGCGAUGCCCAGGCUGGAGUGCAAUGGUGCAAUCUUGGCUCACUGCAACCUUCGUUUCCCAGGUUUAAGCAAUUCUCCUGCCUCAGCCUCCCAAGUAUCUGGGACUACAGGCGAGCGUCACCAUGCCUGGCUAAUUUUUGUAUUUUUAGUAGAGAUGUUUAGUAGAGAGUUUCACCAUAUUGGCCAGGCUGGUCUUGAACUCCUGACCUCAAGGGAUCCGCCCACCUUGGCCUCUCAAAGUGCUGGGAUUACAGGCGUGAGCCACCGUGCCUGGCAAUGUUUGUAGUUUCUUUCAUGAAUUUACCUCCUUUUAUUCUUUAAUCCCUGCUUAUCUCUAAAGAGUAAGUAACUGAAAGUAAUAAAACGGAAUUUUCUCAACAAUAUUUUAUAAGUUGAUUUCUUUUUCUUUCCUACAGGAAACAACCCAAUUUGCCAUCUUAAUUUGGAGUCUACUUUUUCUGAAUGACUCAGUUUUCUCUGAUACUUAAUCAAGAUGCAGCCUUGGGGGAAAAUGUCAUGUCCCAGUCUCCCCCAUGUUCCUUUCCCUUCAUCCCACUUUGUCCCCGGGGUCUAGCAUGACUGUGUGUUUGGAUUGGGGAAGUGAAGGCAGGAAAGUCGCUUCCCCAAAUCCGCAUCCACACAGGGUCUUAUGUUAGAGUUGAUGUUAUCUCUAGGCGAGGUUAUGCAAUGUAGUUACAGAGACAUUGUGAUUAGAUUCAAAGAAAAUGAUUUUCAUCAUUGAAGUUUACGCAUGUGCCCAUUUCCUAUUUAUUACAUUCCCUGGCCCAGAGGACAUUAGGCUUUCAUUUUUAAAAAAUGAUCUCAUUAUCUAAUGAAUAAUUAUAUUUCAUAUAUUUUAUUAAUUUAUUAAAUGUAUGCAUUUAAAAUGGCAUAUAAUGUUAAAACUCUAUGUUGGCUACUAUUUAAAAGUAUAUUUACUGGUAAUCUUAAAAAGUGUUACUGGCUUGUGUUACUUAUUUAUUUGUUUGAGAUAGGGUCUCACUCUGUCAUCCGGGCUGGAGUACAGUGGCCCAAUCAUGGCUCGCUGCAAUUUCAGCCACCCAAUCUCAUGUGAUCCUCCCAGCUCAGGUUCCCAAGUAGCUGGACUACAGGUGUGCACCACCACUUUUGGCUAAUUAUUUUAUUUUAUCUUAUUUUAUUUUGUUUUAGAGACAGGAUCUCUAUGUUGCCCACACUGGUCUUGAACUCCUGGCCUCAAAUGAUCCUUCUGCCUCAGCGUCCCAAAGUGUUGGGAUUACAGGUGUAAGCCACCACGCCUGGCCCCUGUGUAACCACUCUGGAAAAGAGUUCAGAAGUUACUCAAAAUUUUGAACACAGUUAUCAUAUGACCCAGCAACUCUACUCCUAGGUACCGUAUAUAUAUACCGUGUAUACCCAAAAGAAUUGCCAAUAUAUAUUCACAUAUAAACUUCUAUACAAAUGUUCAUAGCAACAUCAUGCACAGUAGCCAGAAAGUUCAUCGGCUGAUGAAUGUGCAGACAAAAUGUGAUAUAUUCAUACAAUGAACUAUUAUUUGUCCAUAAGAAAGAACAAAGUCCUGAUACAUGCUACAACAGGGCCAGACCUUGAGAACAGUAACCUGAAAGAAGCCAGACACAAAAGAGCAUCCAGUAUAUAAUUCCAUUCACAUGAAAUGCCCAGAUAGGCAAAUCUACAGGGACAGAAAGUUGAUGAGUGGUUGCCAGAGGCUAGGGAUAGAAAUCUGCUCAUGGGGACAGGCAUGAUGGCUCGUGCCUAUAAUCCCAGCACUUUGGGAGGUCGAGGCG